AAAUGCGUGGGUUGACAGGCUCCCUGCUUGCGCAGCGAACUGUUUUUUCUACGUAUCAUCAUGUUUGUUUCAAUUGCUUUUAAGGCAUUUGGGCUUCAUUUGGUUUCUGUGCUGGCUACCUACUCGAAAGGAAAUUGUCCCUAUUCUUGAUGUCAUAUCUGCCUUCAACCAUUUUGUGUUGCUCGGUGGAUUUUGGAUAGUACGCGUAUUCCAGUAUCACACUAAUUCAAUGUAGUGGUGACUUGGCCUGCGCAAUGCUAUUUGUUAUCUUGGAUGCAGAACAUUGUUAUGGGUGUUUGAGGUUUACAACCUUAUUUGCCCAAGCAGAGUGUUUUACGCUCAGCACGUACGACAGCUGUGGUUGCGUUGACCCUCCCAAUUUUUUGUUGGGAUGGCUCAUGCACUAUCAGCGUCAUAAAGGAAUG
rnacentral:misc_RNA from 1 species